AAUGUCUGUAUGUGUCUACAUCUACAUUCUCUGCUAUGUGUGUUUUCCUGGUUCCUUGGAUAUUAUUAAAGUCUUGUUAUUGAUGUACUCUUGGUCUCCUCGUUCCUUGCUCUGCGUUCUCGCACCGUAGUGAAGCGUCACCCCCAUACCGGACUGAACAAAAAAAUGAGCAAUGUUCAUUGCUGUGGCUCAGGCAAGCCAUGACCUGCUCACCUACACAAGGGCAUUCGUGCCACUUGCCCUCGCCAGCUCCCUUAAAGGAGAGACCCUGGUGACGCUGUUCUGGCUCAGGAUCUCCUACCAUCAGCCAACGGAACUUCCAGACACCACCAACCUCGACUGGAAGGAAGCAGUCAUCCGGUGUCUGGAGAGCCUCCGAUCCGGAACCCCUCCACCAGCCGUUCCUCAGUCAAGUCCGCCAGCCACUCCAAAGACAAGCUCCAGCUCACUCAAGCUCAUGUCGGCUCCAGCCCUAGAGCUCGCUCCAGUGUCGGCACCGGUCUCCGAGUUUAGCCCAGUGAGGGCUCCUGCCCCCAAGUUUGUCCCAGAGAGCCCUAAGUUACCUUUUCUAUCAAAGGUUUUAGAGAAGGUGGCUUUUAAUCAGUUACAUACUUUUUUGUCUAAAUUAAAUUAAAAAGUCUAAAAUAAAUUUUCAGUCAGGCUUUAGGGCUUAUCAUAGUACUGAGUCAGCUUUGGUCAGGGUUUUAAAUGAUUUGACUGCAGUUGCAUUGGUGUUUUAUUAGUUCUUGUUUUAUUAGAUCUUAGCACUGCAUUCGAUACUAUUGACCAUGAGAAUUUACUCUCACGGCUUGAGAAGGUGGUGGGAAUCCAUGGUAUAGCGCUUACUUGGUUUAAGUCCUUUCUUUCAAACAGAUCUUUUUCUGUAAAUGUUGGUCAAUAUUAUUCACAACCUGUUUCUUUCCUUUGUGGGGUUCCACAGGGGUCCAGUCUUGGCCCAAUUUUGUUUUCUUUGUAUAUGUUACCCCUUGGAUCAAUUUUUCGUAAGCAUGGAAUCCCGUUUCACUUCUAUGCAGAUGACAUGCAAGUGUAUCUUCCUCUGCAAAAGAAUAGUAAAAAGCAUAUAGAAUAUUUGUUGGACUGUUUACAAGAAAUUAAGCUAUGGCUGUCCUUAAUUUUUUUUUUUUUUUUAUCUGGAUGAAGACAAAACUGAAGUUGUGUGGUUUGGAGCUCAAAAUAAUUUAUCUGAUUUGGGCAGUUUAGCCCCUUUUUGUAAGUCAUUAGUGCAAAAUUUAGGAG
ensembl:lncRNA